UGGUUUCUCAAAGAAUAUUUUUGUAAAGUUCUAGAAUUUAAAAAAUUAUUACUAGUUAAUGAUUAAAGGCCUUACUAGUCAUUACUUUUAGAAAAGGUGGGAGCAAACACAGUAUAUAUUACUAUUUUAUUUAACCCAAUACUUUUCAAAUUUAUUUGAACUUGGUAUUACUCACUUCAUCUUCCUUCAAAUUUCCAUUCUUUCUUUCCUUUUUAAGGAUGUUUCUAAAAUCUCCCACAGGACAAAUCAGGAAUUGUCACUAUUAAGUUUCCUGCACAUGGCAUGUGUGCACACAAGCACACAAACACACACACAUACACACCCUCACGAUAUAUUAUUUUGCUUUUUUACUUUAGAUUGCUCUAAAUAAUCAGGAGUUAACCAAGCACAGUAGAAGUUAAAGUUAUGUCUGGGGGAAGGAAAAGUUUUUCAGUGGGCACAACAUCUUUGUAUGUGGUGCUGAGGAUCGAACCUGGGCCACACGCAUGCCAGCACCAUUUGUUGAAGAGGCCAUCCUUUCUCCAAUGAAGAUUCUCUCUCCUUAGUUAAGAUUAGCUAUCUUGCUGUGAAUCUACUUCUGGGUGAUCCUUUGUUUGGAUUGUCUUUUCUUUAGUAAAUGCCAUACUAUCUUGAUGCUUGAAUCUUUAUGAGUCCUCAAUUGAUGGGGCUCCUUUCCUGUAUGUGUUAUUGUUUUCAAAUAUUAAGUGUGCAAUUCAGUGUCUUUGCUUUUCUGUAUAAGGUUUAGAACCAGCAUGUCAGUAACACAGUUUAAUUUUCUGAGAAUUUAAAAAUAUAAUAAUAAUAUUUUAAGUAAGAAUUACUUGACAAAUAGUAAUUGUUUAUAUAUAUAUAAUUUCUUUUUUGAUGGUGCUGGGGGCUGAACCUAGGGUUUUGUGCAUGCAAGUAAAGCAUUGUACUAACUAAGCUAUAUCCCCAGCCCCUAUAAUUGUUCAUAUUGAUGGAUAAAACUUUUUGAAAUUUUGUUUGGGAUUGCACUGAAUCUGUAGAUACAACUGGGAAAAACUGGCAUCUUAACAGUUCUGAGUUUUUCUUUUCUGAAGUGUGAAAUAUCUUUUUUUUAUUUUUCAAAAAUUUCUAAGUAAAGUUGUAAUUUUACUCACA